rnacentral:rRNA from 1 species
UACAGAGGUCUCAAGCGUUGUUCGGAUUCAUUGGGCGUAAAGGGUGCGUAGGCGGCGCGGUAAGUCGGGUGUGGAAUCUCGGAGCUUAACUCCGAAACUGCAUUCGAUACUGCCGUGCUUGAGGACUGGAGAGGAGACUGGAAUUUACGGUGUAGCGGUGAAAUGCGUAGAUAUCGUAAGGAAGACCAGGUGGCGAAGGCGGGUCUCUGGACAGUUCCUGA